CAACUUUCAGCAGGGGAUGUCUAGGCCCCCACAUCGAUGAAGAACGCUGCGAACUGCGAUACGUAAUGAGAAUUGCAGGAUUCAGGGAGUCAUCGAACUUUUGAACGCAUAUUGCACUUUCGGGUUCCCCCUGAAAGUAUGUCUGUACCAGUGUCCGUA
rnacentral:rRNA from 1 species